rnacentral:rRNA from 1 species
UACGUAGGGUGCGAGCGUUAAUCGGAAUUACUGGGCGUAAAGGGCGCGUAGGCGGUGGACACAGUCAGGCGUGAAAUUCCUGGGCUCAACCUGGGGGCUGCGUUUGAUACGUGUUUGCUAGAGUGGGGAAGAGGGUCGUGGAAUUCCCAGUGUAGAGGUGAAAUUCGUAGAUAUUGGGAAGAACACCGGUGGCGAAGGCGGCGACCUGGUCCUUGACUGACGCUGAGGCGCGAAAGCGUGGGGAGCAAACAGG